UACGUAGGGGGCAAGCGUUGUCCGGAAUCAUUGGGCGUAAAGAGCGCGUAGGCGGUCCGGUAAGUCGGUUGUGAAAACUGGGGGCUCAACCCUCAGAGGCCGACCGAUACUGCCGGGCUAGAGUCCGGAAGAGGCGAGUGGAAUUCCUGGUGUAGCGGUGAAAUGCGCAGAUAUCAGGAGGAACACCGGUGGCGAAGGCGGUUCUCUGGGCAUUACCUGACGCUGAGGAGCGAAAGUGUGGGGAGCGAACAGG
rnacentral:rRNA from 1 species